rnacentral:lncRNA from 1 species
AGGGACUGAGCGGGCGCUGCCGCUGUGUGAGCGUCUUCUGCGCCUUCGGUAAGUGCGGUCCGCGUCCGCUGCUUUGGCAUUUUAGACACCAGCCGGGAGAACGGAUGGAGAGAGACAGGGCGAGCUGUUUUGCAGAGCCAAGGUGUUUUACAGCUUAUUGCUUUUAUGCGUGUUCUUUUAAAAUCGUGAAACCACAGCUGUGCGUUUACAAAUCUGAAGAAUUUGGGUACAGAAGGAGGAGGAGGAAUGCUCUUAGAAAUGGAGCUAAAGUACUGCGUGCUCUGUAAGAAAAAAAAAAAAAGCUGCCAAACAAUGAAGACACAAGACUCCUGCCCUCUUUCUGUCCUGGACCUCAACCCCAAUAUUUACGCUCCCACUACUCAGAGUAACCCGAUCCCAAGUGUAUGUAUGCAUCCAGCCUUUCAGGAUUUUGUCGGUGCAAGUGAGGAGUGUGUUUAUAGACGAAAAUUAAAGUCCUAUAUAGAAUAUAGAUUUUUGGGCCAGUAGUAUACGGAACUCUCCACUCUUUUUUUUAAAAACAUACUUUAUUGUUAAAUGUUACUGUUUAGCAUGGGCUUCACACUUUCAGUAGCGAGUCAGUUAAAAGCUUAUUGUAUGUUUUGUGAUUUGCGACGCAGUUCUAUAGCUCAAGCUGAGAUAGAGCCCCCUGUGCUGUGGAAGCUGACCUUGAACUCUUAGCUUCUGCCUCCACCUCCCGAGUGCUAGGAUCAAACAGGAGCUGUUGUGCCUGGCCUACGUGCCAGUAUUUUGCAACUUAAUAUAUUGACUUUCACAGUAUCUAAGGCCACAUGCGAUACUUUCAUAUGAAACAGGUUGCUAGUCUUUGCUUAGACCUCAGAGUUUACAUGAGAGGGAAUGACUGCCUAAAGAUUACACAAAGUUUACUUUUUCUUUAUGUCAUAAAGUUUAAAUACCAUAUGGUUAGAUAGCAGCAUUUAAUUCUUUAAACUCUAGGAGGCUACUUUUGAUGAAACUCGUAGAAAGUCACCAUUUAGAAAUUUUGUACUCAAAUAAG